rnacentral:snRNA from 1 species
GCCUUCGGGCAUUUGGUCAAAUUGAAACGAUACAGAGAAGAUUAGCAUGGCCCCUGCAC